rnacentral:rRNA from 1 species
UACGGAGGGUGCAAGCGUUAUCCGGAUUCACUGGGUUUAAAGGGUGCGUAGGAGGGCAGGUAAGUCAGUGGUGAAAUCUCCGGGCUUAACCCGGAAGCUGCCGUUGAUACUAUUUGUCUUGAAACCCGUGGAGGUGAGCGGAAUAUGUCAUGUAGCGGUGAAAUGCUUAGAUAUGACAUAGAACACCAAUUGCGAAGGCAGCUCACUACACGGUCAUUGACUCUGAGGCACGAAAGCGUGGGGAUCAAACAGG